AACUGUGCGAACCAGACCCGGCAGCCUUGCUCAGUUCAGCAUAGCGGAGCGGAUCCGAUCGGAUCGGAGCGGAUCGGAGCACACCGGAGCAGGCUCAUCGAGAAGGCGUCUGCGAGACCAUGGAGAACGGAUACACCUAUGAAGAUUAUAAGAACACUGCAGAAUGGCUUCUGUCUCACACUAAGCACCGACCUCAAGUUGCAAUAAUCUGUGGUUCUGGAUUAGGAGGUCUGACUGAUAAAUUAACUCAGGCCCAGAUCUUUGACUACGGUGAAAUCCCCAACUUUCCCCGAAGUACAGGUACUGGCAAGGGAAAGUGGGGAAUGGGACUGAGGGAUGUUCUUGGAAUUCUGUGGAACACAACCAAGGAGGCCAAUGUUUCUACUCCUUGACCUAGCAUUUCACUGAAGACAAAUGUUGUAAGAGAGGAGAAAAGCCCACCAUGAGUCAGAGUGACUUUAGGAGAUGCCUCUAGCAGACAUCCCAUAAGAGACAGGACAUGUGUGUGUCAGUGGACUGAGGCUAAGACUCAGAAGAGGGCCAGGUGACAGGGGCCAAGUAAAGGGCAAGGGUUGUUUAUUUGGUUUACGUAAUUUCUCAAAUAACUAACUUCUGUUGGUUUAUUUAUUAAUUUUUAAGAUUUCUAUCUUCUUUUCCCUGGAGAGUUAAGAAUUUUUUUUUAAGACCUGUCAGCAGGAAAAGACCUUUAAUAGCUAUUUUUUUAAACUCUUUAACACAAGACUGGAAGAGCAGAGGGAGAAGGUGAGGGAAAUAUUAACAGAGGGUGUGUGAAGGGCAUACUUCUCUAAGGGAGAUAGUAGUGACGCUGGCUCCACUGGCCACUCCUACCCCCAGUGAGAAGGGCACUGCAUUAAAUGAUAAGUGGGUUAGUUUUUUUAAGCUUAUCAACAUGUUUAUUUUUUAUACUCCACUUGGGUUUCCUUUGUCAACUUUAUUACUGUUUUUGUUUUGUUUUUUUGCAUAAGCUCCUCUAUCUUUGAGAAUUUCUCAGCUCUUCCUCUU
rnacentral:lncRNA from 1 species